rnacentral:rRNA from 1 species
AUGCUACGUCGUCUCAGAUUCCUCGGUCUUCAUCAAAAGAGCCUGUCAAAUGCCAUACCUGCUGCCCUAGGCAACCUCACGAGGCUCGAGUUUCUCUAUCUUCAUUUGAACCAGUUGUCAGGCCAGAUCCCUCCUCAGAUGAUGCUACGCAUGCGCAACCUUACACAGAUUAAUCUGUACGGGAACGGCUUGAGUGGACAAAUACCUCCGUAUUUGUUCAACAACACGCCUUUGUUGACGUUCGUUAACUUUGGGAACAAUAGCCUCUCAGGUCCUAUACCACACGCCGUUGCAUCACUAUCCAUGCUUGAAUUAUUAAGACUGGAUUUUAAUCAACUCUCUGGCCUGGUGCCACAAGCCAUGUUCAACAUGUCUAGAUUACAGGAAAUUUCCUUAGUAAAUAAUCGUAACCUGACCGGAACAUUUCCGAGCAAUCAAAGUUUCAGCCUCCCAAUGUUACAGGUUGUUUCCAUAUAUGGUAACAAAUUUGCCGGUCGGUUACCAUCAGGGUUUGCAUCAUGCCAAUACCUACAAGUAAUUGAUUUGCACGCAAAUUCUUUUGUGGAUGUUCUGCCGACAUGGUUGGCCAAAUUGACAAACCUCAAAAAACUUAACUUGGGUUUUAAUCACCUUAUUGGCUCGAUCCCAGCGGCCCUUGGUAAUCUUUAUCUUUAUCUUUACCUCUUUAUCUUUAUCUUUAUCUUUACCUCUUUAUCUUUAUCUUUAUCUUUACCUAUAUAUAUAUAUAAAUAUAUAUAUAUAUAUAUAUAUAUAUAUAUACUAAUAAACCAGCUAUUGCUUUUGGUCGUCCGUCGUGGUUGUUUUGCAAAACAGCCCCUCAGUUUAUAG